AUGGCGGUGGGGAUUGGGGGUGACAGGGAGGCGGAGACUGGGGACGCCAAGGAGGAGGCUAGUGUGGUGGAAACUGGGAUGACUGAGGAAGCCAUUGAUGAGCUUGCUGUUGUUUGGGUCAAAAUCUUUGGCAUUCCCAAGCCAGCUAGAAAUGAGGAUGCAGUGAAAGCUAUAGUUGAGCUGGUGGGUGAGUUUGAGGCUCUUGACAACUUGUCUUUGAGGAGAGAUGGUCCUGUGAGAGUGAGGGUGGCUUGUAAAGACCCUAGAGAGCUUCACUUUGUGAUACAUGUCUACAUUAACAAAGUGGGAUAUAAGAUUAGAUGGGAACCAGAGGGAUUUGCCCCCUAUGAGAACAAAAACUCAUCCCCUCCAGAGGAUGGAGAUGAUGAUGACAAAGGUGAUGAAGGAAAUGAGGACAUGAAUGUCGAUGAAGACUUCAAUAACCAAAGCCCUAUGAGAGGUCGACAGAACAAGGAUAACAGCUCUCAGAUGGGGGGUAGGGGUCAGCUGCACACUGCUCCCCCAGCAUACAAAGGGAAAACUUAUCAACAAGAUUCAUGCAGAAGUUUGGUAAAAAAGAUGGCAUGCAAGAAGCUGAGCCUGUUGGAGUGUGUUGACUCUGGGAGUAAGGACCUCGUUCUUUGGGAGGGUGAACCAGAGGAAGUGCAAGAAUAUCAAGAGUUGGAGCUGCCUCUCAGUGGUCAGUUCACCCUGAGAGGAGGAGAUGAGGAAAAAAUGAUCUCAACUAAUGACUCCCAAGAGAAAUGUGACAUCCCUACCUUGUCAGAUAUUGAGAGGUUGAGGGAGGAAGAAGAGUUUGAAGAAGAAGACUCUUUCAAAGAAGUGUCAUACAAGAAGAGACCCAAGAAAAGGGUGGAACCGGUUGUCACUUCUAGGAUGAGCCUCAGAAACAGGGAGAUGGCGACUGUACCAAUUCCUAAAAGAGCUGAAUUGUUAACUCAAAAGAAGAAUCUGGAGUGCACAGGGAAGAAUGCUGUGGAUGUUAGUAGUAACAUAGAUACCAUUAAGGCAAAAGAGCUAGUUCAAGCCAAGCUGGCUGAAUUGAGAUGGAAACAGGAAAAGGAGAAAGAGGAAGUCCCAGUCAAUGAGAGUUUGAGAAACUCAUCAGUGGAGGUA
rnacentral:lncRNA from 1 species